UACGUAGGUGGCAAGCGUUGUCCGGAUUUACUGGGCGUAAAGAGCGCGCAGGCGGUUGAUUAAGUCGAAUGUGAAAGCCCCCGGCUCAACUGGGGAGGGUCAUUCGAUACUGAUCGACUUGAAGGCAGGAGAGGGUAGUGGAAUUCCCGGUGUAGUGGUGAAAUGCGUAGAUAUUGGGAGGAACACCAGUGGCGAAGGCGGCUACCUGGACCGGUUCUGACGCUGAUGCGCGAAAGCGUGGGUAGCAAACAGG
rnacentral:rRNA from 1 species